rnacentral:piRNA from 1 species
UGAGUUUAGAGUCGUUGUGCAAACACACCA